ACAGUUUCCUAUGUUUCUCUAUCCUCUCAC
rnacentral:piRNA from 1 species